rnacentral:rRNA from 1 species
UGAGGAAUAUUGGUCAAUGGACGCAAGUCUGAACCAGCCAAGUAGCGUGCAGGAUGACGGCCCUAUGGGUUGUAAACUGCUUUUAUAUGGGGAUAAAGUGGGGAACGUGUUCCCUUUUGCAGGUACCAUAUGAAUAAGGACCGGCUAAUUCCGUGCCAGCAGCCGCGGUAAUACGGAAGGUUCGGGCGUUAUCCGGAUUUAUUGGGUUUAAAGGGAGCGUAGGCCGUUUGGUAAGCGUGUUGUGAAAUGUAGGAGCUCAACUUCUAGAUUGCAGCGCGAACUGUCAGACUUAAGUGCGCACAACGUAGGCGGAAUUCAUGGUGUAGCGGUGAAAUGCUUAGAUAUCAUGAAGAACUCCGAUUGCGAAGGCAGCUUACGGGAGCGCAACUGACGCUGAAGCUCGAAGGUGCGGGUAUCGAACAGG